GACGAACGCUGGCGGCGUGCUUAACACAUGCAAGUCGAACGGAAAGGCCCUGCUUUUGUGGGUUUCUCGAGUGGCGAACGGGUGAGUAACACGUGAGUAACCUGCCCUUGACUUUGUGAUAACUUCAGGAAACUGGGGCUAAUACCGGAUAGGAGCUCCUGCUGCAUGGUGGGGGUUGGAAAGUUUCGGCGGUUGGGGAUGGACUCGCGGCUUAUCAGCUUGUUGGUGGGGUAGUGGCUUACCAAGGCUUUGACGGGUAGCCGGCCUGAGAGGGUGACCGGCCACAUGGGGACUGAGAGACGGACCAGAAGGCUACGGGAGGCAGCAGUGGGGAAUAUUGCACAAUGGGGGGGAGCCUGAUGCAGAAACGCCGCGUGCGGGAUGACGGCCUUCGGGUUGUAAACAGAUUUGGCAUGUGACGAAGAGUGAGUGACGGUAAUGGGUAAAGAAGCAACGGCUAACUACGUG
rnacentral:rRNA from 1 species